CUUGAGAAAUACACUUUCAAAAAUGGUAGAGCUAAAAUCUGUUUUCCAAAGGGAAUACCUGUCUUAGAAUUUUUUUUAAGUGGCUUUUAAGGUUCUUGUUUUGUUUGAGAUGAGUAGCAGCACUUCUUGGGAUUAUAGUAGGAGAAAGGAGGUGUGGUGUGAAGCUAUUGGUUUAUGUUAAAUUUGGACCUACUAAAGUAAGAAUCAGAAUAAUGGCAUUUACAAAUCCUUGGCAACAUCAAUUCCACUUUCAGUUCCAGAAAGAUCCAUUACCUUUUCCUUUCUCUGUGUUCCUUUUCCAGAUCACUUCAUUCUUCCCACCUGCAAUGACCUGCCAUUCUUGAAGAAGACCAAAAUACUAAAAAGACCCAGUUUUUCUCUCCUGGCCAUAAGUUUAGUGCAAAGAGAGAGAUGAUGGUGAAGAAACACAAUAAUGCAGCUUUUUUUUACUAUAAUCCUUAAAAUCAAAGACACUCUCUGGCUAAUAGGACUAAUCAGAGGUCCCCCCAACUUUCCUCAAAAAGAGACUAUGCUCAAGACAUCCCUUCUCAGAUGAAAGUUUAACUUUUCGUAAAAAGCUCUAACGAAAAAGGUCUUGGGCUGAGACAGACGGGUUGCUUGAGACCAGGAGUUUGAGUUCAGUCUGGGCAACAUAGCAAGAUCCUGCCUCUAAAAAUAAUAAUAAUAAUAAUAAUAAUAAAGCUCUUUACUUCCUUCAGUCAUUUCCCCACGAUUUCCCAAGUUCAUAGCAAGGUGCUAUUAAACUCAGAAGAAUUCUUGGAAUUUCUCCCAGUGAAAACUCCACCAGGAAGGCAAUGUGGGUAGUUACCUACCUUCUGAGAGCGGAUAUCCAAGGCUACAUUCACUUGUUGCCAGGGCAGUCUCCUCCUACUCAAGUACAUCUCUUGGCAGCCUCUGUUUUUAUCAACCUCUUCCCACAAAAGGAGAGUGGUUGGUAGCUCUCUCCCUUCCCCACUCCCACGCUGAACUCAGAAGCUUCAUGAAUAGUUCAAUUGAAACAGGAUCAAGUUUCAGACACUCCCAUACUGAGAAAAUGAUCCCACUAGAUUAAAUUGGAGCCUAGAUCAGUGGAGGAAUAUUUCCACAACUCUGCCAGGGCCAGGACAGCCACCAUUAAAAGCUCAGGAGAACUGCUACCAAGAUGCAGAUUUUUGUAAUGGGGAAGACAUCACUCUCUUAUUUGUUGGGGUUCAUUGGUUGAACUCUCUAAUACAAUACAAAAUGUAAAGUCCUGGCAGGAUAAGAAAGGAAUUCCUACUCAUCAGCAGAGUGAUCUUUGCUGGUAAGCAAUUGGAAGAUGGAUGUACUUUGAUGACAGCAUUCAAAAGGAGUCCACUCUUCUUAUUGUGCUGAGACUUUGUGGUGGUGCCAAGGAAGAAGUAUUACACCACUCCCAAGAAGAAUACGCAUAAGAGAAAGAAGGUUAAGCUAACGGUCCUAAAAUAUUACAAGGUGGACAAGAAUGGCAAAACUAGUUGCCUUUGUUGUGAGUGCCCUUCAGAUUGAGUCUCGCUCUGUCACCCAGGCUGGAGUGCAGUGGCCCAAUCGAUCCCAGCUCACUGCAACCUCCACCUUCCAGGUUCAAGCGACUCUCCUGCCUCAGCCUCCUGAGUAGCUAGGACUACAGGCGUGUGCCAACACGCCCAGCUCAUUUUUGUAUUUUUAGUAGAGAUGGGGUUUCACCAUAUUGGCCAGGCUGGUCUUGAACUUCUGAUCUCAGAUGAUCCUCCUGCCUUGACCUCCCAAAGUGCUGGAAUUACAGGCGUGAGCCACUGCACCCAGCCAGCUUUGUUGCACUGUCUCCAAACAGAAUAUGUUAUUAACUUUGUAGCUAGUUGUGUAAGCAGCUCUAUAACAAAAUGAUUUCUACCAAUUUUUUUCUACAGAAAUGUAACUUGAUCUCUUUUAACCACAAAAUGUAUCCACAUCAUACAGGAAAACAUUUUGCAUUUAUUCUGGAAAAAUCCAUUUUACUUGGUAAAGAAGCUACAGCAUUUUUUUUUUUUUUUUUUUGAGAUGGAGUCUUGCUCUGUCGCCCAGGCUGGAGUGCAGGGGCACCUCGGUUCACUGCAACCUCUGCCUCCCAGGUUCAAGCGAUUCUCCUGCCUCAGCCACCGGAGUAGCUGGGAUUACAGGCACGCGGCACCAUGCCCGGCUAAUUUUUGUAUUUUUAGUAAAGAUGGGGUUUCACCAUGUUGGCCAGGCUGGUCUCGAACACCUGACUUUGUGAUCCGCCCUCCUUGGCCUCCCAAAGUGCUGGGAUUACAGCCACCCCGCCCAGCCCAGCCAAUGUAUUUCUUUUGGGUGGAUGAUUUUUUUCUUUUUGGUGACUUAUAAAUAUAACAACAAAAUGAAAGAAAAAUGAAAUUUUAACAGAUGUAAACAAUAAUAUGUAAAUUAUGUUAAAAUACCUUUGCAGUAAACUAAAUAAGUGGAUCAAUGUAAUCUGCGCAGUACAUAUACAACUUCUAAGAAUGCAAAGCUGUUCAAUAGCAUAAUGGGAUUUUUGUUAAAAUUUUAAUUAAAUUUGUAUUAAACAUUUUGUGAGCGAUACAUGAAAAUGGAAGUACUUUGUAGUGCUAAAAUUGUAGUGCUAAAAUAGGGGGAUGGGUGGAACAGGUUUCCAGUGUCAGACUCCUUUAGUUUGCCUCCCACAUUACUUACCUGCUGGAUGUCCCUUGCUUACCCUCUUUGUUUCUGUUUCCUUAAUUGCAAAAUGGAAAUAGCAGUAGAACCUACCUCAUCGUUGUUGUGAGGAUUAAAUGAGUAAAUACAUAUAAAGCAUUUUGGACAGUGCCUACCUCGAAUAGCUCAAUGCUUCCU